AUACGUAUGUCGCAAGCGUUAUCCGGAUUUAUUGGGCGUAAAGCGCGUCUAGGCGGCUUAGUAAGUCUGAUGUGAAAAUGCGGGGCUCAACCCCGUAUUGCGUUGGAAACUGUUAAACUAGAGUACUGGAGAGGUAGGCGGAACUACAAGUGUAGAGGUGAAAUUCGUAGAAAUUUGUAGGAAUGCCGAUGGGGAAGCCAGCCUCCUGGACAGAAACAGACGCUAAAGCGCGAAAGCGUGGUAAGCAAACAGUAUUAGAUACCCUGGUAGUCCACGCCGUAAACGAUGAUUACUAGGUGUUGGGGGUCGAACCUCAGCGCCCAAGCUAACGCGAUAAGUAAUCCGCCUGGGGAGUACGUACGCAAGUAUGAAACUCAAAUGAAUUGACGGGG
rnacentral:rRNA from 1 species